rnacentral:rRNA from 1 species
UACGGAGGGUGCGAGCGUUAAUCGGAAUUACUGGGCGUAAAGCGCGCGUAGGCGGUUUGUUAAGUCAGCUGUGAAAGCCCCGGGCUUAACCUGGGAAUUGCGCUUGAAACUAGCGGGCUUGAGUGCGGCAGAGGGGGGUGGAAUUCCUAGUGUAGAGGUGAAAUUCGUAGAUAUUAGGAAGAACACCGGUGGCGAAGGCGGCCCACUGGUCCGGUACUGACGCUGAGGUGCGAAAGCGUGGGGAGCAAACAGG